rnacentral:rRNA from 1 species
CGUGGCGGCGACUACCAUGCAAGUCGAACGGACCCUUCGGGGUUAGUGGCGGACGGGUGAGUAACACGUGGGAACGUGCCUUUAGGUUCGGAAUAGCUCCUGGAAACGGGUGGUAAUGCCGAAUGUGCCCUUCGGGGGAAAGAUUUAUCGCCUUUAGAGCGGCCCGCGUCUGAUUAGCUAGUUGGUGAGGUAACGGCUCACCAAGGCGACGAUCAGUAGCUGGUCUGAGAGGAUGACCAGCCACACUGGGACUGAGACACGGCCCAGACUCCUACGGGAGGCAGCAGUGGGGAAUCUUGCGCAAUGGGCGAAAGCCUGACGCAGCCAUGCCGCGUGAAUGAUGAAGGUCUUAGGAUUGUAAAAUUCUUUCACCGGGGACGAUAAUGACGGUACCCGGAGAAGAAGCCCCGGCUAACUUCGUGCCAGCAGCCGCGGUAAUACGAAGGGGGCUAGCGUUGCUCGGAAUUACUGGGCGUAAAGGGCGCGUAGGCGGAUCGUUAAGUCAGAGGUGAAAUCCCAGGGCUCAACCCUGGAACUGCCUUUGAUACUGGCGAUCUUGAGUGUGAGAGAGGUAUGUGGAACUCCGAGUGUAGAGGUGAAAUUCGUAGAUAUGCGGAAGAACGCCAGUGGCAAGUGCGAUAUACUGUUUUUUUUUUUGACGCUUAGGCGCUAAGCG